rnacentral:rRNA from 1 species
GACGAACGCUGGCGGCGUGCCUAAUACAUGCAAGUAGAACGCUGACGGAGGAGCUUGCUCUUCUGGAUGAGUUGCGAACGGGUGAGUAACGCGUAGGUAACCUGCCUGGUAGCGGGGGAUAACUAUUGGAAACGAUAGCUAAUACCGCAUAACAGUAGAUGUUGCAUGACAUUUACUUAAAAGGUGCAAUUGCAUCACUACCAGAUGGACCUGCGUUGUAUUAGCUAGUUGGUGGGGUAACGGCUCACCAAGGCGACGAUACAUAGCCGACCUGAGAGGGUGAUCCGCCAAACUGGGACUGGGACACGGCCCAGACUUCUAAGGGGAGCAGCAGUAGGGAAUCUUCGGCAAUGGACGGAAGUCUGACCGAGCAACGACGCGUGAGUGAAGAAGGUUUUCGGAUCGUAAAGCUCUGUUGUAAGAGAAGAACGAGUGUGAGAGUGGAAAGUUCACACUGUGACGGUAUCUUACCAGAAAGGGACGGCUAACUACGUG